CCUACGGGAGGCAGCAGUGGGGAAUUUUGGACAAUGGGCGCAAGCCUGAUCCAGCAAUGCCGCGUGAGUGAAGAAGGCCUUCGGGUUGUAAAGCUCUUUUGUCAGGGAAGAAACGGUCUACUCUAAUACAGUGGGCUAAUGACGGUACCUGAAGAAUAAGCACCGGCUAACUACGUGCCAGCAGCCGCGGUAAUACGUAGGGUGCAAGCGUUAAUCGGAAUUACUGGGCGUAAAGCGUGCGCAGGCGGUUAUAUAAGUCAGAUGUGAAAUCCCCGGGCUCAACCUGGGAACUGCAUUUGAGACUGUAUGGCUAGAGUGUGUCAGAGGGGGGUAGAAUUCCACGUGUAGCAGUGAAAUGCGUAGAUAUGUGGAGGAAUACCGAUGGCGAAGGCAGCCCCCUGGGAUAACACUGACGCUCAUGCACGAAAGCGUGGGGAGCAAACAGGAUUAGAUACCCUGGUAGUCCACGCCCUAAACGAUGUCUACUAGUUGUCGGGACUUAAUUGUCUUGGUAACGCAGCUAACGCGUGAAGUAGACCGCCUGGGGAGUACGGUCGCAAGNUUAAAACUCAAAGGAAUUGACCGGNUGAGACGAGCGACGACGACGACGAGGGAGGAGG
rnacentral:rRNA from 1 species